rnacentral:rRNA from 1 species
AGCAGAGUUUGAUCAUGGCUCAGAGCGAACGCUGGCGGCAGGCUUAACACAUGCAAGUCGAGCGGAUGUAGCAAUACAUCAGCGGCAGACGGGUGAGUAACACGUGGGAACGUACCUUUUGGUUCGGAACAACACAGGGAAACUUGUGCUAAUACCGGAUAAGCCCUUACGGGGAAAGAUUUAUCGCCGAAAGAUCGGCCCGCGUCUGAUUAGCUAGUUGGUGAGGUAAUGGCUCACCAAGGCGACGAUCAGUAGCUGGUCUGAGAGGAUGAUCAGCCACAUUGGGACUGAGACACGGCCCAAACUCCUACGGGAGGCAGCAGUGGGGAAUAUUGGACAAUGGGCGCAAGCCUGAUCCAGCCAUGCCGCGUGAGUGAUGAAGGCCCUAGGGUUGUAAAGCUCUUUUGUGCGGGAAGAUAAUGACGGUACCGCAAGAAUAAGCCCCGGCUAACUUCGUGCCAGCAGCCGCGGUAAUCA